rnacentral:lncRNA from 1 species
AAUGGUGUUAUGCUACUGGCUUUUAUAGCACUUAGAUAUAAUUCAGUAUGUCCCAGUAUGUAUGUGUUUUGCAUUAAUUUCACUUAACAAUCAUGAUGUAAAGUGACAUAGAUCAAAAGGCUGCUAAGGUGGCAUUUGGGCCUAGGUGGUCUCAAUCCAGCUCUUCUUUUGUUUGUUUUUUGUUGGUAGGACAAAAAAAUUUCCCAGCCUAUUUAUUGGCCUAGGGUAUACAGCAUCCUUGGGAAUAACCAUGUCUCAUUGAUGUAUCCUACAAAAGUAUUUGGGUUGAUCUGUUAAUAAUACAAAUCCCAUUUAUACCAUCUGUUUUUAAGAUGGAUUUUCACUCCUAUCUUCCAACUUUGUUCUUGGUCUGUCGCAUGGAAAGGUUCAUUCUUGGUUUUGUUUGGUUUUUGUACUGAAGAGCCCAGGAGCACUCUACUAUGGCCCUUAAGUUUUAUGGCAGGGUCUCACUAAGUUACUGAAACUGCCCUCAGUCUUGGAACCUUGCUUCAGUCUUAACUGAGAUUACAAGCAUGCUCCACCACACUCAGAGGUUCAUGUUUUCUCUUAAUAUUUUUUUAGUUGUUGAUGGACCUUUAACUUACUUAUCUAUAUGUGGUGCUAAAAAUUGAACCCAGUGCCUCACACAUAGUAUGAAGUGCUUUUAACACUAAAUUACAAUAUCACCCUGAAGGUUCAUAUUUUAAAAUGAGCCAGGCACAGUGGUGCAUGCCUAAAAUCCCAGUUACUCUGUAUGCUGAGGUGGGAUACUUGUGAAUUUGAGCCUACCCUGCACCUGGAGCAAGAAUUACAUCAAAAACCAAAAUCAAGGCUCUCAAAGUUGUUUGUUUCAGGAAAGUUGUUGACCUUGGACCAACCUGUAAAGCCAGUGCUUUUACCCAUUAUAGUACACCAACUUGCUAUCACUCCAUACCCUAAAUCUGCCUGCUUCCUUAAAGGCAAAAUCUUGUGAGCAUGUGACAUUUUUCACCCUGAGGAUGUUUUAAUUGGUGGUUCUGAUUAUAGAAUAUUGGGGGUUUAGAUUUCGUGAUGCUGGUGUAUAUCUGCACAUAGAAAUACACAUGAACUAGGCAUAAGUAAUGCCCAGCUGCAAGUGUAAUAGUGACACGUUACAUGCAAAUGUCAACAUCUGAAUUUAUUGAAAGUUAUGGGAAGUAUUUCCAGUCCAGGUAGAAUAAUAGGAUUCCUUUGAUAUAUUUCUACUAGCUGGGUGCAGUGGUACAUGCCUAUCCCAGCUGCUCAGGAGCUGAGGCAGAAGGAUCCCAAGUUCAAAGCCAGCCUCAGUAAAAAAGCUAGGCACUAAGCAACUCAGACCCUUACUCCAAAUAACAUAAGAAAUAGGGAUGGGGAUGUGGCUCAAUGGUUCCAAGCCCCAGCGUUCAAUCCCCAGUACUGCCCACCACCACCACCUCCACAAAAAAGAUAUCUACUAAUUUUGAGUUUCUCAAUUGGCUUCAUCUGUUAAGUUUAAAAGAUUGAAUAACCUUUUCACCCAGAUUACAAGGAUAUAUGGGAUCCCUAUGGAUUUACUAUGGAGUUGAUAAAGUUGGAUAGAGUGGUUUGAAUAUCUAGUUGCAAAUUCGUAUUACAAGCCUGUCUCCAACAGUACUAUAAUUUGUUAACUUCUGAACUGCGGGCUAUGGUGGUGCACCUGUAAUCCCAGUAGCUCAGGAGCUGAGGCAGGAGGAUCAGAGUUCAAAGCCCAGCCUCAACAAGUGAGAUGCAAAGCAACUAAAUUGAGACCCCAUUUCUAAAUAAUACAAAAUAGGGCUGGGGGUGUGGCUCUGUGGUCAACUGCCCCUGAGUUCAGUCCCCGGUACUGCAUCCCUCCACCCCUGCCAAAACAGCAUUCUGGAGUAGCGUUAUGUAAUGACAUUCUGCAUCUGCCUACUAUUCCCAAUCUGCUUUUUUCCCUAACCAACCUAUACACAAAAAUUGCCACAUCAGGGGUCUGGGGAUGUGGCUCAAGUGGUAGCACGCUCGCCUGGCAUGCGUGCGGCCCGGGUUCGAUCCUCAGCACCACAUACAAACAAAGAUGUGUCCGCCGAAAACUAAAAAUUAAAUAUUAAAAAAAUUCUCUCUUUAAAAAAAAAUUGCCACAUCACCCAAAGGAAACAGUGUAUUUGGGACAUUACAUGGAGUAUUGAAGAGGAAAUAAGUAGGAAGGUUAAUGGUAAUGGUGUGGGAAUUCUAGCUAUUAAGAACACAUUUUUAACAACCUGGAUUCCUACCUUAACCCAGAUUUUUUUUAGCUCUGAUUUAAUUUUGGGGUUGAUGGUGCAGGGGAGAGUACUGGGGAUUGAACUCAAGGACACUUAACCACCGAGUUACAUCUCCACUGCUAGACAUGCAUCACAGGCAUGUGCCACCAUUCUUGGCUUUAGUAACUCUGUUCUGUGAGCUUCCCUGUUAUCUGCCAAUUAAGGAUCUUUUUAAAGCCAGUUAAAGCUGAAUUUUCUCACAUAACAUCCAAUGAAGGUUGAGGGGGGCAGCACUCCAAGGUCAGGGUCAGUGGUCAGUCACACCCCCACACGGACAGGCUCUCGCACCAGGAGAGGGUCGGGAAAGCUCCGACACAGUUUAGCCAGAGCGCCUCACACCCAAUCCGGGAGUUGCCCAAUCGUGUGAGAAUGGCUUCCCACAGCUGAGGCUAGCUUUGGACUUUUUUGGUGGUGCAGCGCAUAUUGGGGAUUGAACUCAGGGACACCCCACCACUGGCUUUGGACUUUUGAUCCUCCUGACUCAGCCUCCCAAAUCACUGGGAUUACAGGCAUGUACCACCAUGCCUAGCAUGAAGUCUUGCCUGGAAGUAAAGGAACUCGGGGCUUUCAUACAGCAGGGCCAGCAGUGUGUUGCUUUUAAAGCUGCAGGACUGAGACUACUAAAACCAAAUAUAGUUGAUUGGAGGGUUGCUGAAUUAAAAUACUUUGUAAUCACUAGGGUCUCUUAGCAGGGCAUGAUGGCACACACCUGUGGUCCCAGUGGCUUUGGAGACAGAGGAUCACAAGUUCAAAGCCAGACUUGGCAACUUAAUAAGGCCCUCAACAACUUAGUGAGAACCCCGGCUCAAAAGGCUGGGAAUGUGACUCAAUGGUAAAGCACCUCUGGGUUAAAUCCCCAGUACAUGGGCCUCGGGAUGUGGCUCAUGUGGUAGUGUGCUUGCCUGGCAUGUGUGAGGCACUGGGAUGUUCCUCCAUGGUAGCGCGCUUGCCUGGCAUGCGUGAGGCACUGGGUUCGAUCCUUAGCACCACAUAAAAUAUAUUGUGUCCAUCUAAAACUAAAAAAUUAAGGAACCCCCAAGCCCUCUGGUAUGAUCUUUAAAGUUUUCUUUAUAAUAAGAAAUGUGUGCUUCAAUCAGGUAAACAAUUCUCAGCCCUCACUUUUCAUUACGAGGAUUUUAGCUCUGUUGCCCAGGGGAAGAAUUGUAGGUUUUGAAUAGGACAAAAUUUCAGAAGUAGUUGUUUUAUUUACAUUGUUAAAAUUAUAAAUUUCCGGGGGGUGAAUUAGGAAGAUGGAUUCAGGUUUAUUGGUUUUACCAUGCACACCAAUUUUGCUUCAGGCCAUGUGGUUUUCAACUUCUAAGCCUGGACUUAAUGAUUGAGUCUGCCAAAUGACAUCAAAAGGUAGAAUGCAUUUGAGAUGAUGUAGAGGAAUGAGAUUGCUGGAUUGGUUCCCUAUACAUUCUACUCACUGCCUUUACCUUAACAGUACCCAAAAUAUUUCUUCUUUACUAAGAGAUGAAAGUGAAAUGAGGUAUCAGGUUAUUGCAGGUCAGGUGAUGACUUAAACUCUAGGAAGCCAAUGUAGGCAAGUUAAUAAAAGCAGCAGGGUGGUCGGUGUGUGUUGAUUACAAUUAGUGUGUGAAGUGGUCUGGUAACAAAUAUUUAAAGCUGUUGGAUACUAGCUUCACAGAAUAAAGUUAAUAGAUCUUAAUUAUAUAUCAAAAAAAUGUGAACAUAGGCCUGACACAGUAGAGAUUUCUAGGCGUAAGCCUAUUGAUUGAAGAAAGCCAGACCUAAAAGGACCACAUGUAAUAAGAAUCUUCCUAGCUUUGCCAAAGCAUUCUGCAGCCAUCUACCUACCUCAGUGUUGGGAGAAAGACAUCCAAACUUACCAGCAAUAUUGAAUAUUGGGCUGGGGAUGUGGCUCAAGCGGUAGCGCGCUCGCCUGGCAUUUGUGUGGCCUGGGUUCAAUCCUCAGCACCACAUACAAAGAUGUUGUGUCCACCAAAAACAAAAAAAGAAAUAUUGAAUAUUGGCUUGUAGUUAAAUAAAUUUAUGGGAAUCAGGAACAUCACUGUCACAAAGUCAGUGGUGUUCAUGGGGACUAGAUGAAUAACACUUUGACACAUUCAUUUCACUUGACAUUCAAGUGACACAUUCAUUUCACUUGACGUUCAAGUUCUGAGUAUGUUCAACAACUAGGUGAAUCCUAGUAACCUUGGGAUACGGGCCAAAUAGAAAUUAUUCAGGCCCCUAGGGGCUCCUGGUAAAAUGCAAUCCUCAAUUUACAUGGUUUUUAAUGGUGUGAGAGUUGAAUGCAUUCAGUAUCAAUAUGCCAUAUGAUACUCUGAACAGUGCUGUCCCCCAGCAGCAACAGUGUACCAGGACUGCCAGUCAGCCAGUGAAAAGAAUGAACAACCAAUACUCUCAGUUAUGCUGUUUGGUAGGUUAGGUGUAUUAAAUACAUUUUUGACUUAAUGAUACUUGCACUUUAUGAUAGACUUAUCAGGACAUAAACCUGUAUAAAUCAUAGGAUCUAAAGUAUUAUGUCCCCAGGGGAUUGUCAAUAAUUUAGUAGUAGUUCCAGUAAAUACCUGGAAGAUGAAGGCACAAUGAUUUCUUUGCAUUAAACUCACCAGUUUGGUCAAUGCAUAAAACUCAUGGAUAUUCUAAGUAGUGAAUUUAAACAUGGGCAAUGAUUCAGAUCAUAUUACCUUAUUGGGACAAAUAUGGUCCCUAGCAUUUGACAUGUGCCUGAUAGUCUAGAGCUAUUUUCACCUUUUUGACUAACAUCCGAAACAAUAUGCAUUAAUCUGGGAAAAGAUAACAGUUCACCAUUCCACAUUACCAAGUGAUACGCUUAUCGACCACAUCUGGCCUGUGUCUUUUUGUUGUUGUUUGUUUUAUAAACCUUUAUUUUAUUUAUGUAUUUAUAUGUGGUGCUGAGAAUCGAACCCAGUGCCUCACAUGCCAUGCAAGUGCACUACUGCUGAGUCACAGCCCCAGCCCCUUAUGUUUGAUUUUUUUUUAAAGACAUAAUUGUGCCCAUUCACUAAUAUAUUGUGUAGACUUUCUACUUCAUAAAGGCAGUAAUAAGUAGUUUUGACAGAGACCGUAUGGUGCAUGCAAAACCAAAAGGGUGUUUUUGGAAAAAAAUCUAGAUCUGUUUAAUCUGGUACACAUGUCCCUGAAUUCCCAUUCUACCUGAGCCUGGUUUAUAGAUAGCUCUUUCCCCAAUAUGGCAGCAUCAGCCAGAAUCAGACUAUUUAAAUGUUGAAAGACUCCAGUAACCCUAAUAGCAGAAAAUAUAUCUUACCAUUAUAAACUAAAACCAGUAUAUGUCCUGAGUUUAUGGUUAUCUUCUAGACAGUGAAAUGAUCUCAUUAUGUAUGUAUUUAAAGGCUCAGGAGUAGCAGGACAGGAAGACUGGUAACAAGAAAGUAAAGGCAAGGAAUAUAUAUUUACUAGGCUGAAACAUUACUAUCAUAACUGAAAGCCUAGCAUGCCCGUAAUAAUGACCAGCCCUGAAUUUCAAUGUGUUGAUGAGAAUAUGUUGAGCUUCCAUUCUAAAGAGAGAAGUAGUUUGUCCUCAAUGGAAAUAGAAUCUGAAUCUGGAUUUGCUUUAUUUUUGCUUGUCAUUCCUGUACAUGACUUAUACAUGCUGUACCACACAGCUUAGUUUGGGGUUUUUGUUGUUUUGGAUACUGGGGAUUGAACCCAGGGGUGCUUAACCACUGAACCAUAUCCUUAGUCCUUUUUAUUUUUCAUUUUGAGAAAGGGUCUUGCUAAAUUGCUGAGGCUGGCUUUGAACUUGGAAUCCUCCUGCCCUCAGCCUCCAGAGUUGCUGGGAUUACAGGUGUGUACCACCAUGCCUGGCUCCACACACCUUGAUUUCUGUAUCAGUCAGGGAGGGUUCUCUAGAGAAAUAUAGGUUAGGAGGUGGAUAUGUAAUUUUAAGUAUUCCUGUUUUAUGGUGAUAUUAACAACUAUAUGCAUAUAUACACUAGGUUCAUAGUAUGAACAUUUUACAUGUUUUUAAAAUAUUUUGGAAAACACAAUGAGAAUUUCUGAUGUCUUGAAAACAUCUAAAAAACUAUCAGAUGGGUGUAGUGGUGCACACCUAUAGUCCCAGAUACUUCCAGAGUUUGAGGCCAACCUAAGUAACAUAGCAAGGCCCCAUGUCUUUAUAAAAAAGAAAAUGUCCACCUUUUACUUUUUGAUUUAUUCUAAUAAAUUUUUAUAAGUAAGAUUAUAAAUAAUCUCUUAAUUUAUCUUCUCCAUUUUCAAAUAUUAAUAACUGAGUCAUAAAGUGAACAUUUUUAAGGCUCUUGAGUAUACCAAUACAUAUGACUAAACUAUUCUCCAGGAGAAAGACACUACAAUCUAUCCUUCUAGAAGGUAUUAAAGUCCCUAAAUCCUUAUAGCCCUACCAACCACAAUUAAGCAUAAACAUUGUAGACUCUUUUCAAAGUUGAUAGGUGAAAGCACUUUGCUUCUUAAGAAAAUCUGUCUUAGUAUGAUUAUGCUUUUGUAUUUGUCCCUUUAAAGUUUGCUUUCAUUCCUUCAGUGACAGUAAACAUACUGGGAAUUGAGCACAACUGUCUUCCAUUCUCCAUCCCAUUCAUUUCUGCAUAACUCCCCUCUCUAUAAAAUGGGAUGAUGGAAUUAUAUACUUUGGCAUUUCAUAAGGAAACUAAGUUAUUGGAAUGAGAGUUUAACUGGAGCUCUAGUCAGUCCACAUAUAUGUCAUCCAUUUUAACUUCACAUUUAACUUAAGAAACUUUCAUCUCAACACUCAACAUUUAUUAGCUAUGUUAUAGAAAUUAUCGUAGGUCCUGGGGAUAAAAUAGUCAACAAACAAUUCUCUUCCUCAUUUUGUCAGGAAGACGGAUAAAUGAAACAUAUGUCAUAUACUGACACAUGCAAUGGAGGAAAAUAAGACAAAAUAGUAUUUUUAAAAUAGGUUGGUCAGGGAAGGCUGCAUUUAAUGUGACACUUGAGCAGAGAUUGGAAAGAGUAAGCCCUGAAGAUUUUUACAGCAAGAAUAUUCUAGAAAAGAGUCAGGAGUGGUGGCAUCCACCUGUAAUCCCAGAGGCAGGAGGAUUGCAAGUUCAAAGCCAGCCUCAGCAAUUUGGCAAGGCCCUAAGCAAAUUUGUGAGACCCUAUCUCAAAAUUAAGUAUAUAAAAGCUGGGGAUGUGGCUUGGUGUUUAAGCACCCUGGAUUCAAUCCUCAAUACAAAAAAAAAAAAGUAUUCUAGACAAGGAAUACUUUUUGGACUUUUUAAAUAUAAGGCAUACCAGGGAGGCCAGUGUGAGCAAAAACAGCAGUAGGAGGUACGAUCAGGGACAAUGUGAUCUACUCAUGGUGGAAUGGGGGAACUGUUGGAGAUUUUGGAAAGAUCUGACAUAGAGGAGGCUCAGCUAUUGAGCCAGGCAAUGUGUAAGAAUGAGCUUUCAGUCUGGUGGGAAAGAUGACCACAUGCAGAGAUGCUUUUAUUCUCAUAGGAGUAAAAUCUGUGAAGAAGAAAGUCAUAGAGUAUAGUGAGAUCCCAGAGGAAGAGCCCUGGGCAAAGCUUUUUGGAUGAGAUGACAGCAAAACUACUGGAUGCAUGAUUAGGUGUUUGAAAGUGCUUUGUAAGUCAUGAGACAAUAUAUAAAUGUAAAGAGAAUUUUGAAAAUAUCCAUGCAUGUGGAAGCCAAAUGGUCUUGGUAGAAUUUGGUACAAAAAGGUUCCUUCAGAUUCAUCAUCCAGACUCCUUGUUUCCAUAAUUAAACCUUAUGUGCCAACUUUUGAUCACCUUUGUGGUGCUUCUCUGAAUAUCAUCUGAAUGUAUCUAGUCAGUUAUCAUAGCCUAUUAACUGCAUAAUAACUAACCAUAAACUCUCCAGCAUACAUCAUUAAGCAUUAUUUAGCUCAUAGGACUCAGUUUGGGUGGCCUUGCUGCUCUUAGCAAGACUCUUAUUCAACUGCAGCACAGCUCGGAGAUUGGCUGAUGAUCAACAUUGUGGUGGUAGAGACAGGUCUGUUUCACACUGCAGGUGUGUAAGACUGCUCCACCUGUCUCAGCGUCUUUGAAUGAGUGGGUGAGCUACCACAUGUUCCUGUCACAGCAAUGAUAGAAACACAACACUAAGUCUAUCCACCCACGUGCAUUUUAAGCCUCUGCUUGCAAUUAUAUCUACUAAUUUCUCUUGGGAAAAGUAAGUUACAUGGCCAAUGCAUAAGUCAAAGAACAAGGAAAUGCAGUACUUUCAGUGAAGGAGAUUGCAAAGUUACAUUGCAAAGGGCAUGGAUAGAGAGGGGCGUCAAUAACUCAAUCUAGCAGACCACUUUUUGCAUCCUGGUAGUGGAGACGUGUCAUCUUUUCAGUUCAGCUGCCUUACAUCAAGACCUGCUUUUGUUUAGGAAAUUCCUUUUAGAGGAGCCACCUAAUACUACAGAAGCUGAAAGCCCCUGGUAUUUCUGUGCCUAACCUUAUACCUAGAGUAUUUGCAUGUGACUAAGCCUUGGUCAAUCGGGUAUAUCAAACUAAAUUCGUAACCAGUGACUCCAAGAAAUAGAAAUAGUAGAAAGAAUGGUUGAUAAUGGUGUUUCAGGGAUGGCAAUAUAAGGAUGGGGUGGGGGUCCUAACUCUAGUGGCCACAUUCCUUGCCUGGUGCCAGUGGCAGCUGAGGUGCAAGCUGUGGCAUUCAGGAUUUUGCUGUAGCAGUGACCUCACUUGUAACUAUAGCUGUUAAAAUUCCUUCCUAGUCUAUUUUCAAGCCUGGGUCUACCCUAUUCCUGUUGUCUUCAAACUACCCCAUGUCCUAAAAUAUAACCUUUCUGUUUAAUGAGCUGGAAUUGUUUUUUUUAUUGUUUAUAACCAGGAAUCCUAAUUGAUAAAAGAUUCUUUAUUGCUCAUGAAGCCUGAUUGGUAGCCAUUUGUCUGGUCUUCAUGUCCUCUCCAAUCCCAAUUCUCCUUUUAGUGGAAGUAGAUGUCUUAAAAGAACUUAUAUCACAUUGUUGUUUGCUUUAAAAUCCUUCAGUGGUUUUCUCUUGCAUUUACAUACAACUCAAAACUCUUUAGUGGUCUGCAAGGACCUUCAUUGUCUAACCCACCUCCCAGCCACACCUCUUUACAACCUCACCUUGCAACUGACUUUUGAUUACUGGAAACAGGAGCUUCUUCAGCUUUUCAACUUGAGGUCCUGAAGCUAUAAAGGCUUAUAGUCUCCUCAAUUACUUAUGUUACUUAAAUAGUAAAUUUAAUUAUAGCUAAAAAGUUACCAUAUUCAUAAACAAAUACUAUAUUUAUUCUUCCUCUGAGAUUGCCUCAUUAAUCCAUAGAAAGAAGAUUAUUUUAUAACUAUUUCUAUAUUAUAAUCCUCUGCAUAAGUCUUAAGUGAAAUGAAGCCAUAAUGGCAAUCAAUUGCUGGCAUCAUACAACCAACAUCCAUCUAGGUAAAAAUAAAAUAAAAUAAAAUAAAAUGAAACUAUUGAACCAGGCCCAGUGGUACAUACAUACUUGUAAUCCCAGUGAAUGGGGAGGCUAAAGCAGGAGGAUCUCAAGUGUGAAGCCAGCCUCAGCAAUUAAGCAAGAUCUUCAACAACUGAGCAAGAUCCUGUCUCAAAAAGGAAAAGAAGGACUGGGAUGUAACUCAGUGGUAAAGUGCCCCUGGGUUCAAUCCCCAUUAUUAAAAAAAAAAAAAAAACAAAAAACGGGGGGUUUGAACUUCUUGAUUGCAAGCAUUUUUUUUCACCACAAGUUGUUUAUUUUAUAAUACAAAAAAGAUAGCUUUGCCUAUGCUAAAUCUUCAUACAAACAAAAUCAUCUGUUAUGUAUUCUUUGGUAUCUGGCUUCUUUUCAAUCAGUGUGUUUUUGUGAUUUGUUUAUACAGUUGUAUAUAUAAGUGGUUUGUUCCUUUUUGUUGCCAAACAAUAUCCAUUUUUAUUGCCAAAUAAUACCCAUUGUAUGAAUAUAUCAUGGCAUUUUUAACUAUUCUGCUAAUGGACACCUAUUUGUAGAUUUUAGGCAUGAUGAGUAACUUUGCUAUAAAUAUUCUUAUGCAGGUCUUUUUGUGGAUAUAUGUUUUUAUUUCUCUUGAAUAAAUUCAUAGCAAUAGAAUUGCUGGGUCACAAAGUAAAACUAUUUUUAACUUUUAAAGAAAUUAAUAGUUUUCGAAAGUGAUUAAUUUUAUAUUCUCACUGCCAAUGUACAAGAAUUCCUGUUGUUCCUUGUUUAGUAUUGUCAGUCUUUUUCAUUUAAUUUUAGUCAUUCUGUUGGGAAGUGAUAUUGGUAUCUCAUGACUUUGAUUUUCAUUGCUGAUGACUGUUGAUGUUGCAAAUAUUUUCAUGUGCUUGUUGGUCUUUUUCAUUUAAAUGUUUAUAUUAGUUGUAGAUGGACACAAUACAUUUAUUUUAUUUAUUUGUUUUUAUCUGGUGCCUCCCCUGUGCUAGGCAAGUGCUCUACCACUGAGCUACAGCCCAAACCCCAUUGUUGUCCUUUUUAAAAAUGUCUGUUCAAGUCCUUUGCUCAUUUUAAAAAUUAGUGUAGGCUGAGGUUGUAGCUCAGGGGUAUAACACUUGCCUACCAUGUGCAAAGCCCUGGGUUCAAGUCCCAGCACUGCAAAAAGAUGGAUUCUCCAAAGAACUGAACCAAUAUACCUCCUGUUAAUAGCACACACACAUGCACAUGUAUAUUUCUAGAAUGAGAUUUUGAGGUAUUGACAAAUUCAGUUGUGCAGUCUAAGAAAUAACAUGUCUAUUGUCUGCAAACUGGAGAUCCAGGAAAACUGUUGAUAGCAUCUGAAGGCCUAAGAGCCAAUGAUGUAGAUCCAUACUGAUUUUGAAUGCCUGAGAACCAGACUGCUUCAGGAAGGAAGACUGAUGUCUCAACACAAUAGGAAAAGAGAAUUCAACCUUCCUCCAUUACCUUUUUGUUCUUUUCAGGUCCUUAAUGGAUUGAAUGAUGCCCACUCACACUGGAGAGAGCUGUGAGGCAACUCAGUUCACAAAUUCAAAGGCUAAUCUUUUCUUGAAGUGUUCUUACAGACACAUCCAGAAAUAAUGUUUAACCAGAUAUCUGGGCAUCCUGUAGCCCAGUCAAGUUGACACAAAAUUAACCAUUGCAAGUUAUUUUUAUUACUUAAUUGCAUAUUAGGUUCUUUAUUAUAUACAUGUAUUACAAAUAAUUUCUCCCAGUCUAUAGGUUGUUUUCAUUUUCUAAUUGGUAUAUUUACAAAAGAAUUUUUUAACUUUGACAAAAUCCUAUUGGCUAACUUAAUUUUUUAUGGUUAGUGCUUUCUGUAUUUUGACACCUUUGUGUACCUAUGGCUGCAAAAACUAUUCUAUACUUUUUUCCAAGAAGUUUUAUCAUUUUAACUUUUAUGUUUAGGCUUAGGGUCCAUGUUGAAUUAAUUUAUAUGCAUGGUAUAAAAUAGAAGUAAAAAUUCUGCCUGUAAUCCCAGCGGCUCAUGAAGCUGGGGCAGGCAGAUUUCAAGUUUAAAGCCAGCCUCAGCAACUUAGUGAGGCCCUAAGCAACUGAGACCCUUUCUCAAAAUAAAAUAUAAAAGGUCUGGGGAUAUGGCUCAGUGGUUAAGUGCCCUUGGGUUUAAUCCUUAGUACCAAAAAAAGAAGUCAAAAUUCUUUGCCAUCAUCUAUGUGCAUAUCUAAUUGCUCCAACACUAUUUGUUCAAGAGUCUGUCCUUAUCCCUUGUAUUUGUAUUGCUCUCAGGUUGAAAAUAAUUUGACACAAGUGUGGGUUUAUGCUAGACUCCUUUUAUUAUAUUCUAUUAUUUGUCUAUUCUUUUGCCCAUACCACACUGUUGCAAGCACUCUGAGUUAUUUUAUGGAUUAUGUAUAAUAAUAUUAGAGUUCAAAUAUGGUUAUGAGGUCUUGUAAUUAAUUACUAAAGCUUAAAUAUCUCGCAUAAUUGCAGACUUGCUCAUUUUACAAGCUUUUAUGGAAAUUGCCGCUCAGUGCAUAGGUCAAUGAAAUGAAGAUACUAGGAAGCAUUCUGCUGCAGUGUAAGUAGGAAAACAGAUGCUUUGAACUGCCAAAUAACAGAGAGAGUACAAAUACAGAUUAUUAAAUUCAACUUUUUCCUUUACAAACUGAUGAGAUCUAGGAUUAUUUAAUGUCAUUAUUAGAAUCCCUGAUAAAACUAGAAAGCACUUUUCUUUGACAAAUUAUCAAAACAAGUAACGAAUAAUGAAAUACUUGAAGUGGUGCAUGAAAUUUUUUUUAAUAUUUACUUUUUAGUUUUAGGUGGACAAAAUAUCUUAUUUCAUUUUUAUAUGAUGCUGAGGAUUGAACCCAGUGCCCCAUGCGUGCUAAGUGAGCGCUCUACCACUGAGCCCCAACCCCAGCCCUUUUUAUUUUAUUUUGAGAUAGGGUUUUGCUAAAUUGCUGAAGGCUGUCCUUGAACUUGUGAUCCUCCUGCUUCAGCCUCUGGAAUCACUGGGAUUACAGAUGUGUGUCACUGUGCCAGAAUAACAGACAUUUUGACCACUAGAAUGAACUCAGUAGAAAAUUGUUAAGGAUGUAAUGACGUAUGUUAAUGCUGACUGACAAUUGUUUUGUAUUCAAAGAAAACAACAACAACAACAACAAAAAAGUUUAAAUGUUUUAAUAGGAUGUUAAAUCAGUAUUACAGUUUUAUUUUAUUUUAUUUUAUUUUAUUUUUUUUUUAAAUAUUUAUUUAUUUAUUUUUUAGAUGUAGAU